GGACUACCAGGGUAUCUAAUCCCGUUCGCUCCCCUAGCUUUCGCACCUGAGCGUCAGGUUCUUCCCAGGACGCUGCCUUCGCCUUUGGUGUUCUUCCAGAUCUCUACGCAUUUCACCGCUCCACCUGGAAUUCCGCGUCCCUCUGAAGUCCUCAAGUCUGCCCGUUUUCCCAGUCCUGUGGGAGUUGAGCCCCCACUUGUCACUCGAAACGCAACAGACCGCCUGCGUGCGCUUUACGCCCAAUUAAUCCGGACAACGCUUGCCCCCUACGUAUUACCGCGGCGGCUGGCAC
rnacentral:rRNA from 1 species